rnacentral:rRNA from 1 species
GACGAACGCUGGCGGCGUGCUUAACACAUGCAAGUCGAACGGAAAGGCCCUGCUUUUGUGGGGUGCUCGAGUGGCGAACGGGUGAGUAACACGUGAGUAACCUGCCCUUGACUUUGGGAUAACUUCAGGAAACUGGGGCUAAUACCGGAUAGGAGCUCCUGCUGCAUGGUGGGGGUUGGAAAGUUUCGGCGGUUGGGGAUGGACUCGCGGCUUAUCAGCUUGUUGGUGGGGUAGUGGCUUACCAAGGCUUUGACGGGUAGCCGGCCUGAGAGGGUGACCGGCCCCAUUGGGGCUGGGAAUCCGCCCCGACUCCCCCGGGGGGGAGGAGGGGGGGAUUUUGGCACAUGGGGGGAAGCCCGAUUGAGCAACCCCCGGGGGGGGGAGGAGGGCUUCGGGUUGUAAACCGCUUUCCCCUGUGAAGGAGGCGUGGUGGCCGUUAUGGGGAAAAGAACCCCCGCCAACCACCUG